UUUAAAUACAACCAUGAGUUUAUAUGCUUAAAUUUGAUCGUCUGUCUUAUUUUGAUUUUUUUUAUAAUUAGUAUUUUUAUUGUUAUGAGAUGAUAAAACACGAAUAAAAUACUUUAUACGUGACUUACGUUUUUAAUUUUUUUAAAAAAAAAAUUCAAAUAAGACAGACGAUCAAAGUUGGGCAAAAAAAAAUUAUGGCUACACUUACA
rfam:Oryza nivara chromosome 4, whole genome shotgun sequence.